rnacentral:rRNA from 1 species
UGGUUGAUCCUGCCAGUAGUCAUAUGCUUGUCUCAAAGACUAAGCCAUGCAUGUCUAAGUAUAAGCCAACUUGUACGGUGAGACUGCGAAUGGCUCAUUAAAUCAGUUAUAAUUUAUUUGAUGGUAGAGUUAAGACUGUAUAUGGAUAACCGUAGGAAACUAGGGCUAAUACAUGCACGAAGAGGCGCCAAAGAAACGGCGUCGGUAUUUAUUAGGCAAACAAAACCAGAGAGUACUCGGAAACGAGGAAUGGUGAGACAGAAUAACCUCACUAAUCGUAACAAGGCCCUUGAAGCAAUGACGGGGUCGGCGAUGCAUCAUAUAAAUUUCUGCCCUAUCAACUUUGGAUGGUAGGAUAGAGGCCUACCAUGGUGGUAACGGGUAACGGGGGAUUAGGGUUGAUUCCGGAGAGGGAGCCUGAGAAAUGGCUACCACAUCCAAGGAAGGCAGCAGGCGCGAAAAUUCCACCCUUGCGAUACGCAGAUGGAGUGACAAGAAAUAACGGAUCCGGGCCCAAAGGGCAACGGAGAUUGGAAUGAGCACAAUUUAAAAUGUUUGUAACGAAAGCAACUGGAGGGCAAGUCUGGUGCCAGCAGCCGCGGUAAUUCCAGCUCCAGUAGCGUAUACUAAAGUUGCUGCGGUUAAAAAGCUCGUAGUUGAAAGACAGGGGUGCGGUGGAAAGUGACUCUGCGAAGAAGCGGGGGAAGCGGAAGCAGCACCUCUUUAGCCGGGGAAGCAUGUCUGCACUUGACUGGGCGGGCGUUAGCCGAAACGGCGAUAUACCUUGAGGAAAAUAGAGUGUUCAAAGCAGGCGACAAGGGGGCGGCGGUGGCUUAACGGCUGCCGCUUAGCGCCCGACAUACGCCGUGAAUAAGUUAGCAUGGAAUAAGCGAAGAGGACUUUGGACCCGUACCGGGUUAGUAGCAAUUGGUAGAUGGGGCCGGAGUAAUGAUUAAUAGGGACAGAUGGGGGCAUUAGUAUUUCGUAGUCAGAGGUGAAAUUCAAGGAUUUACGAAAGACUAACUAGUGCGAAAGCAUUUGCCAAGGAUGUUUUCAUUAAUCAAGAACGAAAGUUUGGGGAUCGAAGACGAUCAGAUACCGUCGUAGUCCAAACCAUAAACUAUGCCGACUCGGGAUUGGGGUGAGCACGAGAGAAGGCCACGCCAGGACCGUAAGAGAAAUCACAAGUUAUUGGGUUCCGGGGGGAGUAUGGUCGCAAGGCUGAAACUUAAAGGAAUUGACGGAAGGGCACCACCAGGAGUGGAGCUUGCGGCUUAAUUCAACCCAACACGGGAAAACUUACCAGGGCCAGACACGGGAAGGAUUGACAGAUUGAUGGCUCUUUCUUGAUUCCGUGAGUGGUGGUGCAUGGCCGUUCUUAGUUGGUGGAGUG